UACGGAGGGAGCUAGCGUUGUUCGGAAUUACUGGGCGUAAAGCGCACGUAGGCGGCUUUGUAAGUUAGAGGUGAAAGCCCGGGGCUCAACUCCGGAACUGCCUUUGAUACUGGCGACCUUGAGUCCGGGAGAGGUGAGUGGAACUGCGAGUGUAGAGGUGAAAUUCGUAGAUAUUCGCAAGAACACCCAGUGGCGAAGGCGGCUCACUGGCCCGGUACUGACGCCUGAGGGUGCGAAAGCGUGGGGAGGCAAACAGGAU
rnacentral:rRNA from 1 species